rnacentral:rRNA from 1 species
GACGAACGCUGGCGGCGUGCUUAACACAUGCAAGUCGAACGGAAAGGCCUGCUUUCCCUUGUGGAUUGCGGGUACUCGAGUGGCGAACGGGUGAGUAACACGUGAGUGAUCUGCCCCCAACUUGGGUAUAAGCCUGGGAAACUGGGUCUAAUUCCCGAUAGGACUGCAGGGUGGUGCCUGUGGUGGAAAACGAUUUUCUAGUGGUUGGGGAUGAGCUCGCGGCCUAUCAGCUUGUUGGUGGGGUAAUGGCCUACCAAGGCGGCGACGGGUAGCCGGCCUGAGAGGGUGGACGGCCACAUUGGGACUGAGAUACGGCCCAGACGCCUACGGGAGGCAGCAGUGGGGAAUAGUGCACAAUGGGCGGAAGCCUGAUGCAGCGACGCCGCGUGGGGGAUGACGGCCUUCGGGUGGUAAACUCCUUUCGACCGCGAGGAAGCCACCUGGUUGGAAGGGUGGUGACGGUAGUGGUAGAAGAAGCACCGGCUAACUACGUG